ACCCAAAUUCUAAAUGUCUCGGCACUCUUUUCCAUUCCAUCUGAAGCGAUUGCCUUGAGAUUCACCAAAUUUCUCUCAAGCAUCAGCAAGCCUCCUUCCAUGGCUACAUACGACAGUUUUAGUCUGAAGCACCAACAAUUUCUCAUUCUUUCAGUUUGCUCGCUCUUCUACUUCCAACGGGUAAUCUCUCUCUUUAAUUUUCUUCUGAAGUUCAGCAACCUACUGAUGAAUCUCGAUUUGAAUGUUUUUCUUAUUUGAUCUCUCUUUCUCGCUGGUAAUGUAUACAUGCAUGUGCUAUCAGCCUAUCAGCUAAUAAAUAUGCCUUUUAUCUUCAAUUUUCUUAUAAUUUGGUUUAAAUUUGUUCAUAAGAUAAGGAAUGUUACUAGAUCCACAAAGUGUUUGACAAAAUAUCUAGAAAAAACUUGAUCUACUGCUUCUGGUCAGGAAUAUCUUUCAAUUUUUAAUUUUUUUAGUUGCAAUGUUGGUAUUUUCUGUCAACGUUACUUUGACAACCUUUGGAUUUCACUUUUCAAAAACUUGAGUUGAUUUGAUUAGUGUAAAACUGUAUAUAAUAGUCAUUUUUUGCUUUCUUCUUGUUUGGCUCGAGAAGAGGAUUUAAAGUUCUCAAUUUCAUGAUCAGUAGUCAAAUUGAGCACGCAGGAGAUAAUAGAGCGCUAUAAGAGGCAUACUUAAGACAGAGUUCAACCUGAAAACCAAGUUGGGGCACAACAUCUGCAGGUAGAUUCGAGUUUCGUGUCUCCUCUGUAUAGGAUGAAUUAGAAAGCAACUAGGAGUUUCUUGAAAGUUAAUAAAGUUUUACUGUAGCUUACACAACAAUGCAGCAUAUGCAGUAAGUUUAAUGAAGAAGAUAGAGCUCCUUCAAACAUCAAAAAGGAAAUUCUUGAGAGAAGGUCUGCUGUCAUGUACCCUUCAAGAAGUACAACAGAUAGAAAAACUGUUGGAAUAGACUGUCAGCACCAUUCAGUCACAAAAGGUUCAAGUUUUUAAGGAGCAGGUUGAGCGACUAAAAGAAAAGUGACAAACACCAAGUGAAGAGAAGGAAGGAGAAGCUCUUUGUACAGAUGGUAGCGAGAAAUCAAAUGUUGAGACUGAAUUGUGCAGAG